rnacentral:pre_miRNA from 7 species
UCACGGGACAAGGACGGCCGCGGUGCCCUCUGGAAGACUAGUGAUUUUGUUGUUGUAUGGCUCAUCCCACCACAACAAGUCACAGUCUGCCUUAGGGCGCACGGCCCCGCCGGCGCUGCAGGAG